AUAUUUCAAAAGGGAGCUGUAGUGCUAUUGGAUGCUAUUGAAGUCAAAAUAUAUAUUGUUUGUAUCAUCGUUCCGUUUCAUUAUAGUUCAUGGUAAUCUUUAUAUUUGCUUCAGUUCCACCUCUACAGCAUUAUCCCCGGCUUAACUUGACAUCUACAUGAAGGCUUGGAUUCAAGUGACUUGUAGAUUAUCAGCACUAAUGUAAUCAGCCAUGAAAGAACCGGAAGAAUUGCUUGGAUGGCGGGAGCUCUUAGCUCCCCUAGUGUUCUGAGCAGCACGGAAAAGAGUGACCUGCUCACUAUACACCCCUCAAUUAAGGGAGGCGCUGUGUACUUGUACCUCCUAUGACCUGCAGAGCCUUUCAUUCAGACCCUGGCCGUCUGCUCCAGGAAACAGCACCAUGAUGUGAAGGAACUGACUUUUGUGGUUCUGGAGAAGCAGAUUUUUUGAUAAUAAAUAUAGUACACAUUGAAGGCUCACAAGGAAUAUGUCAUGGAAUUUUUGCAGG